CGUAGGCGGUCUCUUAAGUCAGGUGUGAAAGCCCGGGGCUCAACCCCGGAAGUGCACUUGAAACUAGGAGACUUGAGUAUGGGAGAGGGAAGUGGAAUUCCUGGUGUAGCGGUGAAAUGCGUAGAUAUCAGGAGGAACACCGGUGGCGAAGGCGACUUCCUGGACCAAUACUGACGCUGAGGCGCGAAGGCGUGGGGAGCAAACAG
rnacentral:rRNA from 1 species